CUACGGGUUGCUGCAGUGGGGAAUAUUGGACAAUGGGCGCAAGCCUGAUCCAGCAAUGCCGCGUGAGUGAAGACGGCCUUAGGGUUGUAAAACUCUUUCGCUAGGGAAGAUAAUGACUGUACCUAGUAAAGAAGUCCCGGCUAACUCCGUGCCAGCAGCCGCGGUAAUACGGAGGGGACUAGCGUUGUUCGGAAUUACUGGGCGUAAAGAGUUCGUAGGCGGACUGACAAGUUAGAGGUGAAAUCCCAGGGCUCAACCCUGGAACUGCCUUUAAAACUGUCAGUCUAGAGACCGGAAGAGGUUAGGGGAAUACCUAGUGUAGAGGUGAAAUUCGUAGAUAUUAGGUGGAACACCAGUGGCGAAGGCGCCUAACUGGUCCGGUACUGACGCUGAGGAACGAAAGCGUGGGGAGCAAACAGGAUUAGAUACCCUGGUAGUC
rnacentral:rRNA from 1 species